CAGAGUGGUCCCCUCGGCCAAAAAGGGCUUCACCAUUUCAUCUGUGACCGGGAAGUUGGGCGGCAGCUUCGAGCAGCGUCGGAUCAUGUAAGGGUUGACGCCGUUGAGGAACUGCGAAGGCAGUACCUGCAAGGGUUGAUUUUGACACAUUCUUCAUGUCCUCAAAGUUCUCCCAGCGUGCCGUACUAUGCAGUAUGCCCGCCUCUCACAAGGUCACCCCUGGACAACCACUUGUAGCAGGGGAAGAAUACGUCGUCGUCCUCCGGCGUCCUCACCGCAAUCGUGGAGCAAAACCAAGGCUUAGCUUCAGAUUCGUGGAAAGGAUCUUUCUCCACUUGGAGCAGGAGAAGGAAACCCAACGUGAACGCAGACGUCACCGAAAACGUUCCCACCUGCAGCUCCACGAUACCUCUGGUGUGGAGGAGACUGGAGCACACCUCCCUCAUGGUCCGCGACACCAAAGACAGUUGGCACAGGCUGAAGCUGUCCAGGUAGCCCGCGAUGUGCCACAGAAUCUCGGUGGGUAGUUCGCUGAAGCGGUCCGACUGUG